GAUGAACGCUGGCGGCGUGCCUAAUACAUGCAAGUCGAGCGAACGGACGAGAAGCUUGCUUCUCUGAUGUUAGCGGCGGACGGGUGAGUAACACGUGGAUAACCUACCUAUAAGACUGGGAUAACUUCGGGAAACCGGAGCUAAUACCGGAUAAUAUUUUGAACCGCAUGGUUCAAAGGUGAAAGACGGUCUUGCUGUCACUUAUAGAUGGAUCCGCGCUGCAUUAGCUAGUUGGUAAGGUAACGGCUUACCAAGGCAACGAUGCAUAGCCGACCUGAGAGGGUGAUCGGCCACACUGGAACUGAGACACGGUACAGACUCCUACGGGAGGCAGCAGUAGGGAAUCUUCCGCAAUGGGCGAAAGCCUGACGGAGCAACGCCGCGUGAGUGAUGAAGGUCUUCGGAUCGUAAAACUCUGUUAUUAGGGAAGAACAUAUGUGUAAGUAACUGUGCACAUCUUGACGGUACCUAAUCAGAAAGCCACGGCUAACUACGUG
rnacentral:rRNA from 1 species